AGAAGCGAGGCAGCCGUGAGGCGGAGGACAGGCUGGGGGAUCCCAAAGGGUGCGCUCCAGCCCCCAACCCAGGCACUGGGACUCUGGUGGCACCCUGGGUGGCAGGCAAGCCUUGAAAUCAAGUGCACGAGCCUUGGAAAGGAGGACCGGGAGAGUUAUGGCAUUUAUGAAUGAAGAAGAGAAAGAGAAUCACUCGGAUGGGAAAAGUUAACUGGAUUGUUCCCACCUGCAUGGAUCACCGGGAUGAAGCUGUGCCACCCUGUAGGAAUUAGAAGACCAUGUCCAGGAAUUGAGCACUGGGUGCAGGAUCCAGUCUUCUGAGGCCCUGAAACCACAUGAAGCAACUUAGCCGUCUCGCCUUGCGGCCUGGAACCCCUGGCAAUUUCCGGAGCACCGGCAAGAGACUUUUGCACAGUUUCUGCUUGGAGUCUACCGACUGUCUGUCUCAGAGGUCUGGACAGCUGCUUGUUACAUUUGGCUCACGCUAGCUUAAAAAAGGAAUUUAUGGACCUUACUGCAGAACGUCCCAAUUCUUCAGGCCAAGGUGCCUGUGUUCCUGCUCGGUUUCUGGAUUGCUUGGUACUUAAAUGAAACAUCUUAUUAAUCAUUUCCCGGGAAUGCUGUGCAGGCAAAAGGAAAACAAAGGCAUUCAGGAGCCACAGAAAAGUGUACUGGCUCCUGUCCUGGAUCAACUCAGAAAAUGAAACACAUCGGAUUCUGUCCAGGCCGGGCACAGCAACCUGGCCCAUCCAUGUGGAGCCUGCAGUGACCACUUCCGCUGUCUGCACAAAACUGGAGGGAGGCUGGGGGUGCUCCAAGUAUAAGUUUCCUCAUCAGCAAACCGGAAAGAGAAAGACCGACCUGGAGGCUGGUUAUGGGGAUAAAAUAAAUAUGUCCUUAUAUAUGUGUAUAAAGCCCCAGCACAAACAGCAGUCGCCGCAUGGGUCAGGGAGGCACUGCUUGGAGCCUUAUGUGACCGUGUUCUCACAUUAUCUUCCAACUGGUUUGGGAGACAGGUACUGCUAUGAUCUCUGUAUUACACAGAAGCAAACUGAAGCUCAGAGUGGCCGCUCACUUCACUCCGAACAGAAGGUGCUUGAGCUCUGUGCUGAUAGAUGGAAUCCCAGAUUUUCCAUUUAACUUUUGAUGUUGUGUCGUGGGAGUGGUGUUCCACCUUUGGAGGGUUUUAAGGACUCUUUAUUAACCAGCAAGGGUUCUUGUGCCUUUAAGGAGGAGUGAUUGAGAGGCACCUGCAAGGCCGGUGGAGGCUGCUCUGGAGGCCUGCCUCUUCCAGCCCACAGGCCCUGCUUCCUGGAACUGGUGUGGGUCACUCAUUCCAGUUCGCCUCUGAAACUAUUUUCAUGACAGUAAGCUGCUACCUCAAGAAACAGCAACAGUAGGGAUUUUGCCUGUCAGAUUCGGAGCCUGGGACUCAGACAGUAGCUUGCCAGAGGAUACGUAGCUGGUGGGAGGUGGAAGUAGGAUUGAAAUCCAGCCCUGCCUGUGCCUGAAGCCACCGUACUGGUUGUAACCACCACCCUGACAGAUCCCACUGCAGGGACUUAACCAUCAGGUGAUAUCAGGGACCAGGGUGUCAGUACUCCUGGCUUUGCGGCCGUGCUAUCUCUGCUGGAACCCUUAACCCCGCUGCUGCCAUGCAGUCAGCCAGAGACUGUCCAUAAACCAAUGGGCAUGGUUGCGUUUCAAUAAAACUUUAUUUAUAAACACAGGUGAUAGGUAGAAUUUGGGCUACGGACCUCAGUUUAUGACUUUGGCGUAUGCCAUGGAUGUCAAUGUUACAAGACGUCCUGGUUUCAGACACGUGAUGUAAAAAAAACUGUGCAUCUUAGAAUCUAGGAGAAGUGAUAUUUGUUGAGUGAAUGAAUGAAUGCGUGAAUGACUGAGUCAGGUGUGUGCCCCUGAGUGUUUGGCAGGGAAGAUGGGCACCUGGCAGUGAGUACCAUGAAUGUUGCAUGAAUGUCCUCCGAGUGGCCCUUACUCUCACCCUGGGGACACCACUGUCCCACAGCACAUAAGUGGAAACUGAGGCCCCAACAAAUCAAGAGUUUGUCUCUGGCCAACUGGCAACAGCAAUUCGGUGAGGUGCCAGCUUGCUUAGCAGGGCUUAAGAAGCAGGUGGGCACCAUUCCUCGUCGGCUGAGGAAGCCAGCCCUCAAAGUCAUAGUGCAUAAAGAAUAACUUUUCACUUUAAUUCCAUCCAGAUUAAUUCAGCGAGAGUUUAUUGAACACCUUUCAUCAUGGCUGGAUGGGUGAGUGGUGCCCAUAAAACAGGGCUCCUGCCCUCAGGGAGCUUAAGCACAUCUAAUCUUAUAAACCACCCAGAUCUAAAACCAGCGUGAGAAUUCAGAGGCGCCAAGCCCCCUGCCCGUCCCCAUGGAGCCUUCUGAGGGCUGCAACGUGGAUAUUUUCCAGGCAGGAAUUAAUCACGGCUUCGUUGGCGCUCCAAGCCAGACCCUACAUAAUACCUUCUAUAAAGAGCCUUAUUACACCGGAAGGUUGUAUAUUAUAUUCUUCACUGCACACCAGCUACGUGCGUAGGCUGCUCCCUAUGUCCCUGGGCCAAUAAAUUAGAUUUAGAUUACAAGGGGAGGAAAGGCGGCCCCGCGCGUGAAUACCUAACAGUCACUGUGGACCGAGAUGUCUUGAUUUAGAUGGCUAAAUGGCCCAGUGAAGGGGCCAAGAGGUCGCAGGUUGACACAUAAAAAGCUCACAGCCUCCACAAGCCAACCAUCACCUUGAGCAAACAGGCCCGCCAG
rnacentral:lncRNA from 10 species